UUGGCACCUCGAUGUCGGCUCAUCUCAUCCUGGGGCUGAAGCAGGUCCCAAGGGUAUGGCUGUUCGCCAUUUAAAGAGGUACGUGAGCUGGGUUUAAAACGUCGUGAGACAGUUUGGUCCCUAUCUGCCGUGGGCGCUGGAGAUUUGACGGGGGCUGCUCCUAGUACGAGAGGACCGGAGUGGACGUACCGCUGGUGUACCUGUUGUCUCGCCAGAGGCAUCGCAGGGUAGCUAUGUACGGAAGAGAUAACCGCUGAAAGCAUCUAAGC
rnacentral:rRNA from 18 species